GAGUUUUUUUUUUUAAUGUUAUUUUUGUCAACCAGUUCUUCUGUCAGCAUAGAGCACUGGAUCUGUGAACCUAAAGGUAACUUUUAGGUUUAACCAGGGAAAUCCCACAAAACAACGUGGAAAGAAAAUGAAUCCCAUAAUAUGUUUAUUAAAAAAAAACUUUGAAAUAUUUUUUUAAAAGUUAUCCUGUUUCAUCUGCAAAACUUUAAAUCUUGAUAAAUGAUUUCUGGGACAUCAAAUUAAAAAAUCAUUUUGCUCUUUAUUACAGAUGUCCAGCUGCCUGUCAGAUGGGUCAUCUAUUUUAAUAUCUGAGAGAGUAAAUGGAUUGUUAAGGGGUAGUACGUUUUUUAUCCUCAUUAAAAACCUUGAAAUUUAAAUGAAUUUAUUAAUGAAGAUGUGGUAUUCUUAGCUCUCAAAAUGAAUGGUAUUGUCACCAUCGUUCUCAUCUCUCCCUUCCUCCAUUCUCCUCUCUUUGUACCUCCCCACCCCAUCCCCCCCACCCAAGUAUGAGUGUUUCCUAAGAAUCAUUUCUUGGCUUUUUAUUUUUCUCAGUUUCUGCCAUUUCCCUUGGAAAUUUAUUUACGUCUUAUGUUUAAUUUUGAAGUGUGUGAUUACUUCUGAAUCUAUACCUACAUCCUUAACCCGUUUCCAAGCCCCCAUAUCUGCAUUACCAAUUACUUGCUAGGCAUUUCCACUAAAUUUCCACUAGCCUAGAAGUCCCAGUGUGCUCUAAAUUAAGCUCCUCCCUCCUCCCAUAAAACUGAUAUUCCUUGGUAAUAAGUCAAGAUGGUUAUUUGCAUGGGCAGCCCUCAGUGCUGUUGCGGGGACUUGGAAAGGACGUGGGACACACAAUAUGAUUAUCCCUGCUGCCUUCCUACUGCUCCCAGAUAUUGCUGUGAGACUUUGCCUUCAACAGUGACUGGGGCUAACUCAUAAAAACAACUUAUUGGUAGAGCACCCACAUAUGCAGCUGUGGGCUGCUGCAUAAAUGGUGAUCAGUGUGAAUUGAGCUUGUGAGAGUAGGGUAGGCUAGAUUAUGCCACCGUAGGAAACACCAUCAAAAUCUCAGUGGCUUCAUACAACAAAAGUUAACUUCCUGCUCACGCCAAAUCUCCUGGGCAGUUCUUAUGGGGACUUAUCAUUUUAGGCUGCUUCACUCUUGUGACCUCUCCAUGAGCACCAUGGCAAUGGAAGAGUGUAGAAAACUGCACACCAAACCUUAAACACUUUCACCUAGAAACGACACAGACCACUUCUGACAUUUCACUGGCCAAAGGAAGUCACAUGGUCAUUACCAAACUUUAAGGGGGUCACCUUAUGCUUCAGCCAAGGUCAGUCAGCUCCAGGCAUUGAUCAUCUAAGCUCUUCUGUGACACAGGAGCCGGGAAGUGUCUUCCAUCUUGAUUCUACCCUGGGGACACACCAACCAUUAAUAAGUACGGUUUCAUCAACACAAGAACAUUUGCUGCUUUGGCUGACAUUGGUGAUCAUUCUCCACUUGAGGAGUGAAAAUCUCAGAGUGCUUGCUAACCUGUGGUCCUGCCUAAGUAUAAAUCAUAGCCUCAACAGACAUGCUGCAGUGAGCCACUUAAGAAUGCAUUGUAAUGCCAUGCAGACUGAGAUGGAAAUGUUCAUUACCAAGAUAUGACAGCAUUUAUCAAGAUGGGGCAUGCAGGAGGCAGCUGAUCAAUGAUUCUCUCUCAGCACUGAUGUUUCUAUCUCUCUCUCCCUCUCCAUUCCUCUCUGAAGUCAAUAAAAAAUAUAUUAAAAAAAG